UGUUUUAGUAAGAUUUCCACGCAAGUCUUCGUACAUGAGGCCCCUGGUGCUCAGGAAACAGGUAGAACUGCUUAAACAGAUUGAACAAUGGAGUUAGUUUCCAAAGCAAUGUAUUAAGAUUAAUUGAAGACUUGAUAUCUUUCUCUUUGCAGUUGGAGCAUGUGGAGCAACAGGGAAACACACAGAUGGUGCAUGUAUGGAUGUCCUUCCAGGAGGAAGGGGGUGGUGGUGGGCAUAGAUAGAUGUCUUUUCUGUGGCUGUUAUUUACAUUGUAGGUAAUGGAACUACAACAGACAGAAAAGAGAGCCUCACAAGCGGAAUGGUGAAUAUUUAUCUGAAGAACGCUGGAGAACAUUUGGCUUAUUGCUGGAGAUCAAGUCUUGUUUUUGUCUUUUGCAGAUUAGACUGGGGAAUCAGACCUCAGCAAUGACUGAAAACUGAUAGUCUGGUUAGGUAUUUCCUGAAUGGAUGGGUGGAUGAAUGAAUGAAAAAUAGAUGUCCUUCCAGGAGGAAGGGGUGGUGGUGGGCUUAAAUGGUUAGCUAGUUGUCUUGUCUGUGGCAGGUGUUUCUUUUUCGAGUAAUGGACACACAGCAAGCAGAAGGACACUCACAAGAGCAUCUGUGGAGAUUUAUCUGAAGAACACUGGAGAACAUCUUCCAUUGCUGGAGUUCAGCAAUCACACAGAGCUCUGUUAGUCCUGUAGUUGUCUUUUGGAAUUACACACCUCAGCAAUGACUGGAAAUGUCCUGGUUACGUCCUUAACCCGUGUUCCCCGAAUAAGGAACGGAGACGUGUGUCUGUAGAUAAACAAACUUUUGGGAGUGAGUCAGACGACCAAUCACUUCUGAAGAUAAGAAAACAGGCCAGUGAAAUGCCAAUUGAAUUGGCGGAGCUUAGCUCCACAGCUGAAGUGAUAGAGACACAGCUGGAAAACAUGGUAUUAAGAUAAAUUAAUGACUUGAUAUCUUUCUAUUGUAUUUUGCAGAUUGGAAUGGACCACAUGGAGAAAAAGGGAAUCACACACCUCAGCAAUGACUGAAAAUUGAUGGUCAGGAAUUUUUUAAAAAUCCAGUCGAUGGGUGCAUGGAUGGACGUCCUUGCAAGAUUGAAGAGUGGCAAUCAGUUUGGAUGAGGAAUUAGGCCUUGUCUGUGUGAGUUUUUUCUUUUUCAGGUAAUGGAGAUAGAGCAGGCAGAAGAGGAGCAGGUAUGGCUUUGUUGGGGCUGUUUUUGUCUUUUGCAGAUUGAAGUGGAGCAGAAGAAAGAGACUCAAAAGGCAGGAGAUAUGCUUCAAGACCUGGAGGUCAGGAAACAGUUGGAGCAUGUGGAGCAACAGGGAAACACACAGAUGGUGCAUAUAUGGAUGUCCUUCCAGGAGGAAGGGGGUGGUGGUGGGCAUAGAUAGAUGUCUUUUCUGUGGCUGUUAUUUACAUUGUAGGUAAUGGAACCACAACAGACAGAGGAGAGAGCCUCACAAGCAGAAUGGUGAAUAUUUAUCUGAAGAACGCUGGAGAACAUUUGGCUUAUUGCUGGAGAUCAAGUCUUGUUUUUGUCUUUUGCAGAUUAGACUGGGGAAUCAGACCUCAGCAAUGACUGAAAACUGAUAGUCUGGUUAGGUAUUUCCUGAAUGGAUGGGUGGAUGAAUGAAUGAAAAAUAGAUGUCCUUCCCGGAGGAAGGGGGUGGUGGUGGGCAUAGAUGGUUAGCUAGUUGUCUUGUCUGCGGCAGGUGUUUCUUUUUCGAGUAAUGGACACACAGCAGGCAAAAGGACACUCUCACAAGAGCAUCUGUGGAGAUUUAUCUGAAGAACACUGGAGAACAUCUUCCAUUGCUGGAGUUCAGCAAUCACAUAGAGCUCUGUUAGUCCUGUCGUUGUCUUUUGGAAUUACACACCUCAGCAAUGACUGGAAAUGUCCUGGUUACGUCCUUAACCCAUGUUCACCGAAUAGGGAACGGAGACGCAUGUCUGUAGAUAAACAGACUUUUAUGAGUACGUCAGAUGACCAAUCACUUCUGAAGAUAAGAAAAUGGGCCAAUGAAAUGCCAAUUGAAUUGGCAGAGGUUAGCUCCACAGCUGAACUCCACACCUGAAACUCAGGUUCUGUGGCAGUGGAGAUACACGUCUCCGUUCCCUAUUUGGGAAACGUGGGUUACGGACGUAACCAGGACGUUCCCCUUUAUAAGGGAACUCCAACGUGUGGCUGAAGAUAAACAGACUUUUGGGAUGCAGUAUGGAAAACACCACAGCAGCUAAGCCCAUCACGCUCCUAAUAUGCAGUUUGCCAAGCGAAGCGUGAGCGCACUGACAUCACCAAAAGCGCAACCUUCCAACGUCCCCUAGGCCAAAAAUAUUACCAUUACAUGGGAAAUAUAAGAAUUAGAUUGGGGGUUGUAAUGUACUUUUACCUAGCUAAUAUAGACUAGGAAUUUUAAAAAUACGACAUUUCGUUGGGAAAGCGUGCCAGUCCCCGAACGGGGGAGACGCUGCGGAGAUCACCUGCUACCCAAGGGGGAAGACUUAAUGGUAAUUGAGCAUAUGGACUAGCCCUAAUGAGGGGGAGUGCUACAUAUGAUAAGCUGGUUAACGGUUAGGGAAGACACGGGUCCGCCUGAAAGGGGGAACACACAGUGGUAAAUAAUGCAUAUGGCAUCAACAAAACAGGGGAAUGCACAUAGCUGGCACUGAACCUCAGUAUGCAGGUAGACCAGAUGACAGACAACACACUGAGCCAUGCACUCGACUCCUCCGCUGAGUCAGGUGCUGGGGGCCUCGGAUGAAUUCUCUAGGGUUCACCCAAAAAGGGAAACUUACUAGUAGAAUAGAAAAUGCGCACGCAUCUCCUGGUUAGGGAGCGUUUAUUGACAUAGAGCUUAAUUUCCUCAUGAUUGACCGGUGUAACCAGUAAUCGGGAGGAAAGGCACUCAUCACCUCAUAUUAAAAGGAGGCAGUAGGAGCCUUGAAACAAGGUGAACCGAGGUUACUGGAACAUUUUGCUGACUGAAAAUGCCACCAGAUUCCUAACCCUCCUGAUAUCAGUACGAUCAGUAGAGCUGCCUAAAGGACAAAAAACUUAGAUACUGAUCGAGUGGCUCAACGGAUUUAAUCAUAACCCUUGGGGCUAGAGAGAUCCCAAGGGGGCGGAAGAGUGAGCGGGGAUGGAAUAACCAUCUCGCACCAUGCGUCUCUGAGAAACGGGCUGAUAAGGUUAUGCUUACCCAGCGUGCUUCCAUCCCCAGUAUUUUAGAAUGGGGAUGAUCGCACGGCAAACCUUCAGUGUGGAGGGAGACAGCCUGUGCUCCAGUUAUCCUGUAGGAAGAAAACACAACACUAAUCUGGCAUGUCCGAGGGUUUUCUCAGAGAGAAUUCCACACAACGAAUAGACUCCACUGCAGAACAUUGGCAUGACUAAUAGGGUGCCCUAGCCUGAGUGACUGUGUUAACCAUCACACUGAUAGGUCACUUAAGUCCACCGCGCUCUGUCUAGAAACCAUCCAAGGAGGUUCCAGAGCACUGCAUGGGUGCCAGAUGGGUGCCUGUCCCAGAAAAAUGAAAGUGUUUUUCUGGGUAAUUUAUCAGGGAGGGCCAUCACGAGGAGUGUGAUUCCGGAAACUCUGAAGCGGUUGGGCCAGAGAGGCGCAACGAGCGAGACCCGCUCCUCGUCUCCCUGGCCUUGCACAGUGUCUGUGCGAGCAGGCUCACUGGGGAAAAGACGUAACCCGUAUUGCAUAACCCUGGGCCAGCUGAGAGCCAGCGCCUUUGUGCAGAGCUGGGAAAGCAGCCAGCGAAGGGCCGCUCGGGAGAAACAGCAGGCGGACCUCGGCUUCUCUGAAACAUGCCCAUAACAGCUAGAAUGUACUGGGGUGGAGUUUCUGUUCUCCCAGAAACAUAACGGUCCUGAGAGCAUAUAAGCUGGCAUGGAGAGCUUGUACGGGAUAUGAACAGCGCGUAGCUUUUUAGCCGCAAGACUCCAGAGCAGCAGAUGGCGAGCAUGUUGCGGUAGCGCACACCACCCAAACGGUUGAUGUACGCUAUCGCAGCCGUGCUGACCAUCCUAAUCAACACAUGUAUCCCCGACGAAGAGCGAAAAACAAUGCCAUACGGCUCCAGGCAGUUGAAAUGCCAAUGCAACGGGGAUUCGGUUUACAAACCUGCAGCUGCCUGCUCGCACAACCCGUCAGCCCAAAAUGGAAGCAUCUGUCAAAAUGACAGCAUAUAUAGACACAUGUGCUUUGGGUACUUAGGCCCGUAGAUGGCAAGAUCCAUCCAGGGGCUGAAGGUGCGAAGACUCAGCAUGGUGACAUACACCCUGUGAACAAAAAAAAUCACAGUCAAUGAAUAAUCAAAAAUGCAGAUGCAUCCUCCACGCAUGGAAACAGAGAGCCAUAAUGGGAGAACUUUUACUACCAUGCUCGGCCCCCCGUCGCACAUCAGAAAAAUCACAUUAUAAGAAGGGAGAGAGCGAGACCUGGAGUGAUCGCCCUUCAGGUCUAUAGCUGCAAGCAAUCCCACGAAUCCACGCACUAGGUAAUGCGUUUCUGCAUAAGCAUCUUGAUCGGCAUCCUGAACAGAAGCUAGAUCAAAACGCGCAGAUAGGAUUGGUAUAAUCCACCGCCCUCUGGAUACGAUGAAGGGGAGGGGUAAACUCAUUCUUCAUCUUGGCUGGAGGACUAGCUUGAUUGUAUCCUUAGCUAGGAGGAUAACAAUCUUCUCACGCGAGACAGGGGUGGCAUAGCAAAUAAUUGCUUAAAUACACACCCUUGAACUCGGGAGGCCAACAGUAAAUUGAAACACAUGGCCGAGUCUGAACACCCACGUGAGCUACCAUAAUGUGCUGAGCAGCGCUAACCAGGCUGACAAAGUCCGAAUAAGCUGCAUCACCGGAACGAUCGCUGACGUACCCACGGAGGGGCAGCUUCGGAGUGCUCACCCCGGGAAGCAGAGUGUCCCGAGAAAGAGGUGAAAAUAAAAAGUUGACUCUUACCUUCCUCCCAGGAUCCCGCGGAGUGGCUGGAGGUGCGAGAAAGGAGGUCAUCCUCUGGCGCCCUCAAAUCUGUGACGAAAUGCACCAAAGCUAAGAGCAGGAAGGCAGAGGGAGGAAAAGCCGCUCUUUUGGGAUUGUUACAUUCACGGGGGAGCCCCGGCCUCCACCUGGGAAAGAAUGGUCCAUUUCCUCUCCCAGCGGCCCGCCUCGGGUUCGCUUUGCGGUCCGAUAACUGAACUUAUAGGCCACCUGUGACGGGAGCGUCAACUCCUCGCGGAGGGCCUCGGCUCGUUCACUUAGUCAGUCUGUGAUGGUGAAGCAUUUUGACGCCACGGGAAGAGUGCACUCGGCGAGGAACGGCCAGCGCGAACGGGUCUGAUAGAGCAAUUUUCUGAGGAUGACCUGCUCCAUCGUGUAUGGCUGAUAUUUCACCACCAAGGACU